GAAGAGAGUGAGCAGGAUGCUGUGAGAGAGGGUUACUAUUCCAAGUGGCACCUGGGCCAGCAGCAUUGGCAUCACCUGGGACUUGUGAGAAAUCCAGCAUCUCAGGCUCUACUGCAGGUCUCCUAAAUCAGAAUCUACAGUUUAACAAGAUCCCCAGGAGAUGUGUGUGUAAAGUCAAGAACCUGUUGAGAGGAGCACCUAGCAUAAGACCUGGCUUGUGACAGAUCUGCCACCCUGUAGCUGGGUGACUUUUAGACAAGUGAUCUGACCUCUCUGAGCCAGAGUUUCUACCUUGUAAAAAAAAAAAUCCCUUCCUGCAUGGUCAGCUGUCAUGAAAAGGACACAUGGUGAUGGGCAGACCAAGACAAGGCUUAGCUUCAUGUUUGACUCCUAGGAGCACCCAGUUCAUAGACGCUGCUGCUGUUACUAAUCUGUUUCCAUCUUCCCCUGGGAAUCCUGAGGUUUAUCUGUGAGUCUUUGGACUGCUGUAUGGACAACAUACUCUGCAGUAGCAUGAAGAAGUGAGUGAAGACCCUCCCUUGAACCAUGUGCACUGAAAGAACAGAAGUCACAUCUUGAUAUCUCAGUGCCUUUACAGUGCCAGGGAUGGGGUACAUGCUGAGCGCCUGGUAUGUGCUCACCCUAUGCUGUACAAAACACAGAAAGCCCCACAGGGUUUGAACUGUAAUUAGGUAGAGGGUGUGUGGGACUCCCCUUGGGUCUC
rnacentral:lncRNA from 1 species